rnacentral:rRNA from 1 species
AGCAGCCGCGGUAAUUCCAGCUCCAAUAGCGUAUAUUAAAGUUGUUGCAGUUAAAAAGCUCGUAGUUGAAUUUCGGGGUCAGUAGAUUGGUCAUGCCUCCGGUAUGUACUGGUCUUACUGGCUCCUCCUUCCUGAUGAACCGUAAUGCCAUUAAUUUGGUGUUGCGGGGAGACUGGACUGUUACUUUGAAAAAAUUAGAGUGUUUAAAGCAGGCUAACGCUUGAAUACAUUAGCAUGGAAUAAUGAAAUAGGACGUUCGAUCUUAUUUUGUUGGUUUCUAAGAUUGACGUAAUGAUUAAUAGGGAUAGUUGGGGGCAUUAGUAUUCAAUUGUCAGAGGUGAAAUUCUUGGAUUUAUUGAAGGCUAACUACUGCGAAAGCAUUUGCCAAGGAUGUUUUCAUUAAUCAAGAACGAAAGUUAGGGGAUCGAAGACGAUCAGAUACCGUCGUAGUCUUAACCAUAAACUAUGCCGACUAGGGAUCGGAUGAUGUUAAUUUUUAAUGACUCAUUCGGCGCC